rnacentral:lncRNA from 1 species
GCAGUAUGUUUUGUUGGAGGAUGCAGUGCCCAUGAAGCUGGAUGCAGUGAACCUGCAGUGGUUGCAGUGCCCCAUUCAGUUUCCCUGAAUUUGGAGGCAGUGCCUAUGCAGUGUCAAACAAGGUGGAUGCAGUAUGAUGUGGAGGAGGAUGCAGUGCCCGCGAAGGUGGAUGCAGUGAUCCUGCAGUGAUUGCAGUGCACCUGCAUUUCCACAUCACCUGGAAGCAGCAUCCCUACAGGGGUUGCAGUGCAGCCUUCUGUGUCCCUGAAGGCGAAUGCAGUGCUCAUGCAGUGAAUGCAGUGUACCUAAAGGUUUAUGCAGUACGUUGUGAUGGAGGAUGCAGUGCCCAUGAAGGUGGAUGCAGUGUCUCUGCAGUGGUUGCUGUGUCCCCGGCAUUGUCCUGGAAUGUGGAUGCAGUGCCAAUGCAGUGGAUGCAGUGUGCCUGCAGAGCCACUACAGCUGGAUGCAGUGUUGCUGCAGUGGUUGCAGUGCCACCUGCAUUGUCCCUGAAUGUGGAUGCAGUUCCCAUGCAGUGGAUGUAGUGUCCCACAAGGUGAAUGCAGUAUGUUGUGACGGAGGAUGCAGUGCCCACGAAGGUGGAUGCAGUGAGACUGCAGUGAUGGCAGUGCACCUGCACUGCUACUUCAGCUGGGUGCAGUGUUGCUGCAGUGGUUGUAUAGCCAACUGCAAUGUCCCUGAUGGUG